GAUUACAGCAAAGACAACAUCGGCAGUAUUGAUGGCAAAAUAGGCUCCAGAAUAUUUCCUUCUGGAUUGACAGGUGACAUAUUUCAAAAUCCAUACAUUUAUAUAUCUGUUAUGGGCCGGCUCUGUUUUCCCUGUUCCUACCUGUUUGUUGUCUGUGUCUGUCUCCACCUGCUGUGGCAGUUCACUCAGAGGAUCUAGGUCAAGGGGCGUGGCCACUCUCUCCAGCUCUGUUCCCACCAGCUGCAGCUCAUCCAUCAUUCAACCAGCAGUUAUCUACCCGGGCUGUUCACCUCUCCAGCGCCACUUCCUUUCUACACAACCAGUGCUCUCAGUGCUGCCUGCUCUCCACACCACUCAGCUCCCAUCCCGGUCCUCUCUGCCUAACACGCUGUGGAAAUAAACACCUUAACUGAC